rnacentral:misc_RNA from 1 species
GGGUAGGUUGUCAAUGGUAGGAUGUUUGCUAGCCUAGAUUGUUUGUGUGUGUGUGUAUGUGUGCACGCGCGCAUGUGAAUGUGUAUGAGAAGGUGGAGCUAGGCUCCCUAUUUAUUGUAUUUAGGUUCUCGGAGUUGAGUUGGACUCGUUAUAUGUUUGCUUUUAUUGAUGUUGUAGAUUCAAUGAUCAGGAUGGCCCUUUUAUGUGGUGUGUCUGCAUUGCAUUCGCAUGUGUAUGGUGCAUGUAAUUCUAAAUUAUCUUAUUAUGCAUAAAUUUUGGUGAUUUGUAUGUUCUAUGUGUUCGGUAUUGCAUUAUCCAUGCUAAGAUUGUAUUAAUGCUAGACAGAUACAGAACUUAUAAUUUUACUCAAUAUUAUAACUCUCUGAAUAAAACAUUUAUUUCUGUUUAACUAGUUUUCUCUAGGUAACAAAAAGAGAUAAUUUUUAGUGCAGUGAGUUCCUCCUGGCAAGAAGUUGUAUUAAUUUUCUUAAAUCUAUACGUGCAGGUAUUCUGACCUUACCUCUUAG